rnacentral:rRNA from 1 species
AGCAGCCGCGGUAAUUCCAGCUCCAAUAGCGUAUAUUAAAGUUGUUGCAGUUAAAAAGCUCGUAGUUGAAUUUCGGGAUCAAUAUGUUGGUCGUGCCUUGGUACGUACUAAUUUAUUGGUUUCUUCCUUCUGACGAACCAUGAUGUCAUUAAUUUUGUGUCUUGGGGAAUCAGGACUGUUACUUUGAAAAAAUUAGAGUGUUUAAAGCAGGCUCACGCUUGAAUACAUUAGCAUGGAAUAAUGAAAUAGGACGUUUGAUUCUAUUUUGUUGGUUUCUAGGAUCGACGUAAUGAUUAAUAGGGAUAGUUGGGGGCAUUAGUAUUCAAUUGUCAGAGGUGAAAUUCUUGGAUUUAUUGAAGACUAACUACUGCGAAAGCAUUUGCCAAGGAUGUUUUCAUUAAUCAAGAACGAAAGUCAGGGGAUCGAAGACGAUCAGAUACCGUCGUAGUCUUAACCAUAAACCUAUGCCGACUAGGGAUCGGAUGAUGUUAAUUUUUAAUGACUCAUUCGGCGCCUUAAC